AGGAUUAACGCUGGCGGCGUGCCUAACACAUGCAAGUCGGACGAGGUAGCAAUACCUAGUGGCAGACGGGUGAGUAACGCGUGGUCAACCUACCGUUGAGCGGGGGAUAACUAGCCGAAAGGUUAGCUAAUACCGCAUACGUCUAGCACGGCAUCGUGCAAAGAUAAAAGCCGCAAGGCACUCGACGACGGGACCGCGUCCCAUUAGUUAGUUGGUGGGGUAAUGGCCUACCAAGACUCCGAUGGGUAGCUGGUUUGAGAGAGCGACCAGCCACACUGGGACUGAGAAACGGCCCAGACUCCUACGGGAGGCAGCAGUGAGGAAUUUUCCGCAAUGGGCGAAAGCCUGACGGAGCGACGCCGCGUGUGGGAAGAAGGCCUUCGGGUCGUAAACCACUGUCGAAGGGGAAGAUAUUGACGGUACCCUUGGAGGAAGCCCCGGCUAACUACGUGCCAGCAGCCGC
rnacentral:rRNA from 1 species